rnacentral:rRNA from 1 species
CUACGGGCGGCAGCAGCAGGGAAUAUUGCACAAUGGCCGAAAGGCUGAUGCAGCGACGCCGCGUGGAUGAAGACGGCCUUCGGGUUGUAAAAUCCUUUUCGGGGGGAAGAGUGAGGACGGUACCCUCGGAAUAAGUGUCGGCUAACUACGUGCCAGCAGCCGCGGUAAUACGUAGGACACGAGCGUUAUCCGGAUUUACUGGGCGUAAAGCGUCUGUAGGCGGUCGGGUAAGUUGGGCGUGAAAGCUCCGGGCUUAACUCGGAGAGGCCGUUCAAUACUGUCCGGCUAGAGGGCGAGGAGGGGAGCGGAAUUCCUGGUGUAGCGGUAAAAUGCGCAGAUAUCAGGAGGAACACCAGUGGCGCAGGCGGCUCCCUGGCUCGUACCUGACGCUGAGAGACGACAGCUAGGGGAGCGAACAGGAUUAGAUACCCUUGUAGUC